rnacentral:rRNA from 1 species
AUUGAACGCUGGCGGCAUGCUUUACACAUGCAAGUCGAACGGUAACAGGCCUUCGGGUGCUGACGAGUGGCGCACGGGUGAGUAAUACAUCGGAACGUACCCAGAGGUGGGGGAUAACGCAGCGAAAGCUGUGCUAAUACCGCAUGUGAUCUGAGGAUGAAAGCGGGGGACCGAGCAGCAAUGUUUGGCCUCGCGCCUUUGGAGCGGCCGAUGUCGGAUUAGCUAGUUGGUGGGGUAAAGGCCUACCAAGGCGACGAUCCGUAGCUGGUCUGAGAGGACGACCAGCCACACUGGGACUGAGACACGGCCCAGACUCCUACGGGAGGCAGCAGUGGGGAAUUUUGGACAAUGGGCGCAAACCUGAUCCAGCAAUGCCGCGUGCGGGAAGAAGGCCUUCGGGUUGUAAACCGCUUUUGGCAGGAACGAAACGGUGUCCGCUAAUACCGGGCGCUAAUGACGGUACCUGCAGAAUAAGCACCGGCUAACUACGUG